rnacentral:rRNA from 1 species
UAUUGGACAAUGGGCGAAAGCCUGAUCCAGCCAUGCCGCGUGUGUGAAGAAGGUCUUCGGAUUGUAAAGCACUUUAAGUUGGGAGGAAGGGCAGUUACCUAAUACGUGAUUGUUUUGACGUUACCGACAGAAUAAGCACCGGCUAACUCUGUGCCAGCAGCCGCGGUAAUACAGAGGGUGCAAGCGUUAAUCGGAAUUACUGGACGUAAAGCGCGCGUAGGUGGUUAGUUAAGUUGGAUGUGAAAUCCCCGGGCUCAACCUGGGAACUGCAUUCAAAACUGACUGACUAGAGUAUGGUAGAGGGUGGUGGAAUUUCCUGUGUAGCGGUGAAAUGCGUAGAUAUAGGAAGGAACACCAGUGGCGAAGGCGACCACCUGGACUGAUACUGACACUGAGUGCGAA